rnacentral:rRNA from 1 species
UACGUAGGUGGCGAGCGUUGUCCGGAUUUACUGGGCGUAAAGAGCGCGCAGGCGGUCGUUCAAGUCGCGUGUGAAAGCCCCCGGCUCAACUGGGGAGGGUCACGCGAUACUGAUCGACUCGAAGGCAGGAGAGGGAAGUGGAAUUCCCGGUGUAGUGGUGAAAUUCGUAGGUAUCGGGAGGAACACCAGUGGCGAAGGCGGCGACCUGGGCCAAGAUUGACGCUGAGGUGCGAAAGCGUGGGGAGCAAACAGG